UACGUAGGGUGCAAGCGUUGUCCGGAAUUAUUGGGCGUAAAGAGCUCGUAGGCGGUUUGUCGCGUCUGCUGUGAAAACCCGAGGCUCAACCUCGGGCCUGCAGUGGGUACGGGCAGACUAGAGUGCGGUAGGGGAGAUUGGAAUUCCUGGUGUAGCGGUGGAAUGCGCAGAUAUCAGGAGGAACACCGGUGGCGAAGGCGGGUCUCUGGGCCGAUACUGACACUGAGGAGCGAAAGCGUGGGGAGCGAACAGG
rnacentral:rRNA from 1 species